rnacentral:rRNA from 1 species
GAUGAACGCUGGCGGCGUGCCUAAUACAUGCAAGUCGAGCGAACAGACGAGGCGCUUGCUCCUCUGACGUUAGCGGCGGACGGGUGAGUAACACGUGGAUAACCUCCCUAUAAGACUGGGAUAACUUCGGGAAACCGGAGCUAAUACCGGAUAAUAUAUUGCACCGCAUGGUUCAAUAGUGAAAGACGGUUUUGCUGUCACUUAUAGAUGGAUCCGCGCCGCAUUAGCUAGUUGGUAAGGUAACGGCUUACCAAGGCGACCAUGCGUAGCCGACCUGUGAGGGUGAUCGGCGACACUGGAACUGAGACACGGACAAGACUCCUACGGGAGGCAGCAGUAGGGAAUCUUCCGCAAUGGGCGAAAGCCUGACGGAGCAACGCCGCGUGAGAGAUGAAGGUCUUCGGAGCGUAAAACUCUGUUAUUAGGGAAGAACAAAUGUGUAAGUAACUAUGCACGUCUUGACGGUACCUAAUCAGAAAGCCACGGCUAACUACGUG